AAGGAUAUAGCUCAGUGGCAGAGCACUUGCCUGGUACCCAUGAGACCCUGGGUUCAAUCUUAAGUAUCCCAA
rnacentral:tRNA from 1 species